rnacentral:rRNA from 1 species
GACGAACGCUGGCGGCGUGCUUAACACAUGCAAGUCGAACGGGUCUGCCCUGUUUUUUGCGGGGUGGGUCAGUGGCGAACGGGUGAGUAACACGUGAGUAACCUGCCCCUCACUUCUGGAUAACCGCUUGAAAGGGUGGCUAAUACGGGGUGUUCUGGCUGUGCCGCAUGGUGUGGCUGGGAAAGAUUAACUUUUGUGGUGUUUUGGUGGGGGAUGGGCUCGCGGCCUAUCAGCUUGUUGGUGGGGUGAUGGCCUGCCAAGGCUUUGACGGGUAGCCGGCCUGAGAGGGUGGGCGGUCACACUGGGACUGAGAUACGGCCCAGACUCCUGCGGGAGGCAGCAGUGGGGGGUAGUGCACAAUGGGCGGAAGCCUGAUGCAGCGACGUCGCGUGAGGGAUGGAGGCCUUCGGGUUGUGAACCUCUUUCGCCGGUGAAGAAGGUCCUGCUCUUUGUGGUGGGGUUGACGGUAGCCGGGUUAUGAAGCGCCGGCUAACUACGUG